rnacentral:rRNA from 2 species
UUUKKWWUUCWGCUCAGGACGGACGCUGGCGGCGUGCCUAAUACAUGCAAGUCGAGCGGACAGAAGGGAGCUUUCUCCCGGAUGUUAGCGGCGSACGGGUGAGYAACACGUGGGUAACCUGCCUGUAAGACUGGGAUAACUCCGGGAAACCGGAGCUAAUACCGGAUAGUUCCUUGAACCGCAUGGCGUCAAGGAUGAAAGACGGUUUCGUGGGCUGUCACUUACAGAUGGACCCGCGGCGAUGGGCUAGUUGGUGAGGUAACGGCUCACCAAGGCGACGAUGCGUACCGACCUGAGAGGGUGAUCGGCCACACUGGGACUGAGACACGGCCCAGACUCCUACGGGAGGCAGCAGUAGGGAAUCUUCCGCAAUGGACGAAAGUGUGACGGAGCAACGCCGCGUGAGUGAUGAAGGUUUUCGGAUCGUAACUCUGUUUAGGGAAGAACAAGUGCAAGAGUAACUGCUUGCACCUUGACGGUACCUAACCAGAAAGCCACGGCUAACUACGUGCCAGCAGCCGCGGUAAUACGUAGGUGGCAAGCGUUGUCCGGAAUUAUUGGGCGUAGGGCUCGCAGGCGGUUUCUUAAGUCUGAUGUGAAAGCCCGGCUCAACCGGGGAGGGUCAUUGGAAACUGGGAAACUUGAGUGCAGAAGAGGAAGUGGAAUUCCACGUGUAGCGGUGAAAUGCGUAGAGAUGUGGAGGAACACCAGUGGCGAAGGCGACUCUCUGGUCUGUAACUGACGCUGAGGAGCGAAAGCGUGGGGAGCGAACAGGAUUAGAUACCCUGGUAGUCCCCGUAAACGAURARUGSUAAGUGUUAGGGGGUUUCCGCCCCUUAGUGCUGCAGCUAACGCAUUAAGCACUCCGC